CUUCAGAUAAACUACAGUGUCUCCAGAAACACCAUUUAUAAAGCCUUCUAAGAUGUCUACUCUUCUGUCCCUUCAGGUUUCUGACUUGGCCAGCUCCUGACAGCGAAGCCUCCCUGCUAGCGGUCGGUGUGCUGGAUGUGGUGGUGUGUACCUGGGAUCGCAGGACCUGCGAGCAUGUGUCAGGAGGAGCAGGAGUUCAAGGCCCGCCUGGGCUCACAGGGAGACCCUGGUGCGGUCGCGUGUGGCACGGUGGACGCAGGGCCAGACCGGGAUGGAUGCUGUGGGCCGUGCACACCACACCUGAUGACCGCACACG